rnacentral:rRNA from 1 species
GAUGAACGCUGGCGGCGUGCUUAACACAUGCAAGUCGAACGAUGAAGCCCAGCUUGCUGGGUGGAUUAGUGGCGAACGGGUGAGUAACACGUGAGUAACCUGCCCUUAACUCUGGGAUAAGCCUGGGAAACUGGGUCUAAUACCGGAUAGGAGCGUCCACCGCAUGGUGGGUGUUGGAAAGAUUUAUCGGUUUUGGAUGGACUCGCGGCCUAUCAGCUUGUUGGUGAGGUAAUGGCUCACCAAGGCGACGACGGGUAGCCGGCCUGAGAGGGUGACCGGCCACACUGGGACUGAGACACGGCCCAGACUCCUACGGGAGGCAGCAGUGGGGAAUAUUGCACAAUGGGCGCAAGCCUGAUGCAGCGACGCCGCGUGAGAGAUGACGGCCUUCGGGUUGUAAACCUCUUUCAGUAGGGAAGAAGCGAAAGUGACGGUACCUGCAGAAGAAGCACCGGCUAACUACGUG